CGAUAAACAAGGGAUGGAUUUUGUGAGGAAGUAGGAGCCAGAAUCUCAGAUCAUUUUGAGGGCUGAGAUCUGCUAGUAAUCAGUGUUGUGUGCAUAAAGAAGAAUGACCCUCCAUUCCAAUGAUUCUAUCCACCAUGCUGGGAUAACCUCAUGUUCACCUGGAAACUUGUCCAACUUUUGGAAGAGAGGGCAGUGAUGGCCACAGGUCCCUUACUACUAGAGGUACCAGAGUGGUUUGACAGUCAUUCUCCAGCUGCCUUUACAGAUGAGGAAACUGAGGCAAGCAGGGUGAAGUGACUUGCCCAGGGUCACUUGGCUUAUAAGUAUCUGAG